UACGUAGGGUGCGAGCGUUAAUCGGAAUUACUGGGCGUAAAGCGUGCGCAGGCGGUUUUGUAAGCCAGAUGUGAAAUCCCCGGGCUUAACCUGGGAAUGGCAUUUGGGACUGCAAGGCUGGAGUGCGGCAGAGGAGACUGGAAUUCCUGGUGUAGCGGUGAAAUGCGCAGAUAUCAGGAGGAACACCGGUGGCGAAGGCGGAUCUCUGGGCCUUACCUGACGCUCAGGUGCGAAAGCUAGGGGAGCGAACAGG
rnacentral:rRNA from 1 species